UACAGAGGUGGCAAGCGUUGUUCGGAAUUACUGGGCGUAAAGGGCGCGUAGGCGGCCUUCUAAGUCAGACGUGAAAUCCCCAGGCUUAACUUGGGAACUGCGUCUGAUACUGGAAGGCUUGAGUGCGGGAGAGGGAUGUGGAAUUCCAGGUGUAGCGGUGAAAUGCGUAGAGAUCCGGAGGAAGACCGGUGGCGAAGGCGGCCUGCUGGGCAGUUACUGACACUGAUGCGCGACAGCGUGGGGAGCAAACAGG
rnacentral:rRNA from 1 species